rnacentral:rRNA from 1 species
ACACGACUCUCGGCAACGGAUAUCUUGGCUCUCGCAUCGAUGAAGAACGUAGCAAACUGCGAUACUUGGUGUGAAUUGCAGAAUCCCGUGAACCAUCGAGUCUUUGAACGCAAGUUGCGCCCGAAGCCAUUAGGCCGAGGGCACGUCUGCCUGGGCGUCACGCA